rnacentral:rRNA from 1 species
CCUACGGGUGGCAGCAGUGGGGAAUAUUGGACAAUGGGCGAAAGCCUGAUCCAGCCAUGCCGCGUGUGUGAAGAAGGCCUUCGGGUUGUAAAGCACUUUCAGUGGGGAAGAAAGCCUUGGGGCUAAUACCCUCGAGGAAGGACAUCACCCACAGAAGAAGCACCGGCUAACUCCGUGCCAGCAGCCGCGGUAAUACGGAGGGUGCGAGCGUUAAUCGGAAUUACUGGGCGUAAAGCGCGCGUAGGCGGUCUGAUAAGCCGGUUGUGAAAGCCCCGGGCUCAACCUGGGAACGGCAUCCGGAACUGUCAGGCUAGAGUGCAGGAGAGGAAGGUAGAAUUCCCGGUGUAGCGGUGAAAUGCGUAGAGAUCGGGAGGAAUACCAGUGGCGAAGGCGGCCUUCUGGACUGGCACUGACGCUGAGGUGCGAAAGCGUGGGUAGCAAACAGGAUUAGAUACCCCAGUAGUC